GACGAACGCUGGCGGCGUGCUUAACACAUGCAAGUCGAACGAUGAAGAAAAGAAUCGAAGCUUCGGCAGAAAUUCAUUUCGGAUUAGUGGCAGACGGGUGAGUAACGCGUGAGCAACCUACCUCUUACAAAGGGAUAGCCUCGGGAAACCGGGAUUAAUACCAUAUAACAUUGUGACGAAGCAUUUCGAUGCAAUCAAAGCUACGGCGGUAAGAGAUGGGCUCGCGUCCCAUUAACCGGAUGGUGAGGUAACGGCUCACCAUAGUGACGAUGGGUAACCGGGCUGAGAGGGUGAACGGUCACACUGGAACUGAGACACGGUCCAGACUCCUACGGGAGGCAGCAGUGGGGAAUAUUGCACAAUGGAGGGAACUCUGAUGCAGCGACGCCGCGUGAGUGAUGAAGUAAUUCGUUUCGUAAAACUCUGUUCUAUGGGAAGAAAAGGACUGUACCAUAGGAGAAAGCUCCGGCUAAAUACGUG
rnacentral:rRNA from 1 species